UACGUAGGUGGCAAGCGUUGUCCGGAUUUACUGGGUGUAAAGGGUGCGUAGGCGGGACGAUAAGUCAGGCGUGAAAUUUAUGGGCUCAACUCAUAACGUGCGUUUGAAACUAUUGUUCUUGAGUGAAGUAGAGGCAGGCGGAAUUCCGAGUGUAGCGGUGAAAUGCGUAGAUAUUCGGAGGAACACCAGUGGCGAAGGCGGCCUGCUGGGCUUUUACUGACGCUGAGGCACGAAAGCAUGGGUAG
rnacentral:rRNA from 1 species